AAUACAAAGGAAAGUAUUUUCCGUGGACUGAAAAUCCUCGUGUCGGCAGUUCGAUUCUGUCCCUGGGCACCA
rnacentral:tRNA from 1 species